ACGAGGUGAAAAGUUAACCUAAUCAUUUUUAGUCUUUUUAAGUAUCCAAACAACAUUACUGAGGGGUUAAAAAUUACAAGGAUAACAAUUAGUCCUCGUUAACCUCAUACCAAACGCCCUUAAAGUUCAUGAAGCAUUAAAAUAUAGACACUGCAGGUACUGUCGGAAGACAACCUGCAUGAUCUCAUUCAACACCAAUCUGAUACAUCGUAUGUGUGUUGCUAUCACUUCACAGCAAUAAUUCUACAUUUGUUUUAAAUUUCCAGUAAUUGGUGGUAGGGUACUGGCUGGUAGCCAAAGUAGGGCAUUCAAACAAUUUGUUUGCAUCUGGUCUUUCAAACAACUGCCGUUGG
rnacentral:misc_RNA from 1 species